GAUGAACGCUGGCCGCGUGCUUAACACAUGCAAGUCGAACGGAAAGGCCAGUGCUUGCACUGGUACUCGAGUGGCGAACGGGUGAGUAACACGUGGGUGAUCUGCCCUGCACUUCGGGAUAAGCCUGGGAAACUGGGUCUAAUACCGGAUAGGACAAUGGUUUGGAUGCCGUUGUGGAAAGUUUUUUCGGUGUGGGAUGAGCUCGCGGCCUAUCAGCUUGUUGGUGGGGUAAUGGCCUACCAAGGCGUCGACGGGUAGCCGGCCUGAGAGGGUGUACGGCCACAUUGGGACUGAGAUACGGCCCAGACUCCUACGGGAGGCAGCAGUGGGGAAUAUUGCACAAUGGGCGCAAGCCUGAUGCAGCGACGCCGCGUGGGGGAUGACGGCCUUCGGGUUGUAAACUCCUUUCGCUAGGGACGAAGCGUAUUUGUGACGGUACCUGGAGAAGAAGCACCGGCUAACUACGUG
rnacentral:rRNA from 1 species